GGGGAGGUGGCAGAGUGGUCGAAUGCGAGCGCCUGCUAAGCGCUUGAUCGGGUGUUUCCGGUCCCCGGGUUCGAAUCCCGGCCUUCCCG
rnacentral:tRNA from 1 species